rnacentral:lncRNA from 1 species
AUGGGAUUUUCCAGGCAAGAGUACUGGAGUGGGCUGCCAUCACCUUCUCCGCAUAAACAUCCUACUUACCUCCAAAGAGCUUCAUACUGCUUCUCCUGAAGGUCAAGGGUCAUUCUCUGAAUUUAAGGACUCUGUAUAUUCCAGUGCAUCAGGGGUAUCUGUUUUUCUGAAAGCACAUCAUCUUGAGUUAUCAAGAUCUGAAAAAGCGAAAGUUGGAAAAAUGACUUUUUAACACAAGGUCCUAAGACAGAAGCAUGGCGAUGCUGAAAGAAGUCACUAUGUCAGGGAGAAUGACUUCAAAGCAACAAGAAGUACCAGGAAAUGAUGAAAAUAAUCCAGGUCACUGAGAAUAUGAAUACUGCUUACAUUGGUGUUGGGUAAAUUCCUGCAUUAUAAUCUGCCAGUUUUUAAUCAGUGAAAAUGUUAAAAAUUUUCAAAAUAAA